CAGCAGCCGCGGUAAUACGGAGGAUCCGAGCGUUAUCCGGAUUUAUUGGGUUUAAAGGGUGCGUAGGCGGCCUUGUAAGUCAGGGGUGAAAGACGGUAGCUCAACUAUCGCAGUGCCUUUGAUACUGCAGGGCUUGAAUGUACUUGAGGUAGGCGGAAUGUGACAAGUAGCGGUGAAAUGCAUAGAUAUGUCACAGAACACCAAUUGCGAAGGCAGCUUACUAAAGUAUGAUUGACGCUGAGGCACGAAAGCGUGGGGAUCAAACGGGAUUAGAUACCCCUGUAGUCCCUGUCUCUUAUAA
rnacentral:rRNA from 1 species